GGAAGGAUGUCCGAGAGGUUUAUGGUGUCGGUCUUGAAAACCGAUAGGGGUAGCGUUCCUAUCCCUCGUGGGUUCAAAUCCCACUCCUUCUGCCA
rnacentral:tRNA from 1 species